rnacentral:rRNA from 1 species
UACAGAGGUCCCAAGCGUUGUCCGGAAUCACUGGGCGUAAAGGGCGCGUAGGCGGCUUGGCAAGUCAGUGGUGAAAGCCCGAGGCUCAACUUCGGGUCGGCCACUGAUACUGCUAGGCUUGAGUCGACUAGAGGCAGAUGGAAUUCCGGGUGUAGCGGUGGAAUGCGUAGAGAUCCGGAAGAACACCGGUGGCGAAGGCGGUCUGCUGGGGUCGAACUGACGCUGAGGCGCGACAGCGUGGGGAGCAAACAGG